AUGUACCCAAUUGCUUGGGCAAUAGUGGAGCAAGAAACAACAGAAAAUUGGGAAUCGUUUAUUUGCCUUCUGAUCAAAGACUUGGACAUCAAUAAUCAAGGUGAAGGCUGGGUGUUCAUUUCAGACCAACAAAAGGUAAUUAGUUCAAGUCGCCUAGACGGAGAACCACCUAGUGUACUCCUUUGA
rnacentral:rRNA from 1 species